rnacentral:misc_RNA from 1 species
GGAAGUAAAUGUCGUAACAAGGUUUCCGUAGGUGAACCUGCGGAAGGAUCAUUAUUGCAUAACCGAGGUGCGAGGGCUGUCGCUGACCCGAAAGGUCGUGCACGCCCGAGUGCCCUCACACACAUCCAUCUCACCCCUAUGUGCACCACCGCGUGGGUCCCCCUUUGGCUUGUUCGGAGGGGGGCUUACGUUUUCACACAAACUUUGUAUGCAGUGUAGAAUGUAUUUUUUGUUUUUGCGAUCACGCAAUCAAUACAACUUUCAACAACGGAUCUCUUGGCUCUC